rnacentral:tRNA from 1 species
CGGGCCUCGAUCCCGCAAU